GAUGAACGCUGGCGGCGUGCUUAAUACAUGCAAGUCGAACGAAGCACCUUGGACAGAAUCCUUCGGGAGGAAGACCAUUGUGACUGAGUGGCGGACGGGUGAGUAACGCGUGGGUAACCUGCCUUGUACAGGGGGAUAACAGUUGGAAACGACUGCUAAUACCGCAUAAGCGCACAGUACCGCAUGGUACGGUGUGAAAAACUCCGGUGGUACAAGAUGGACCCGCGUCUGAUUAGCUUGUUGGUGAGGUAACGGCCCACCAAGGCGACGAUCAGUAGCCGACUUGAGAGAGUGAUCGGCCACAUUGGGACUGAGACACGGCCCAAACUCCUACGGGAGGCAGCAGUAGGGAAUAUUGCACAAUGGGGGAAACCCUGAUGCAGCGACGCCGCGUGAAGGAAGAAGUAUUUCGGUAUGUAAACUUCUAUCAGCAAGGAAGAAAAUGACG
rnacentral:rRNA from 1 species